UCCCACCCUUUGAGAGAUUUGAGGUCACCAGAGUCAACUACGUUGGGAAGAGCACCUACAUCCGGCUCGAGUCCAAGGACACAUUCAGCAACUACAACUGCGAAUGGGUGAAAGAGAAGGGAUGCAAGGACCAGCCGUGCGACUUCGGCGCAGGCAGGACCAUCAUCGGGGACCCCCGGCUCCUCUGGGGGCUCCUCCUGGCAGCCACGGCCCUGGCAGUCACGGGGGGACCCUGAGCCCCGAUGCCACUGCACCACGGUGAGAGAGAGGGGUCCAGCAUGGAAGACACCAGCAUCAUCGGGAUGGUGGGAUGGGAGGGGACAGCAUUUGGGGCUGGGGGCACUGGGACAGCCCCGCUGCCGCCCCUGUUCCCAGCUGAUGCCCUGCCACGGUGCCACCCAUCCUGGGAUGUGCCCCCAGCCUCAGGGACAACAUCAGGGACCUUCAGCAGAGCUGCAGAUGGGGCUGUUGGAUGCAGCUGAGCGUGGGGUGUCCCCCCCCAGGGAUGGGGGUGGCCGUGGAUUUUGGGGGGAUGCAGCAGGGCUGCCUUUGGGGGUGUCCCUGCCCAGCCGACUGUUCCCGCCUUCCCUUCCCCCCUGGCUCCCAGAAAAUAAAGA